rnacentral:misc_RNA from 1 species
AAGGAUCAUUACAGUGCCUGCGGGACGUCGGGUAACACCGGCGCCCUGCAAACUGGCCACCCGUGUCUACCUUACCUCUGUUGCUUUGGCGGGCCCGUCCCCAGUGGACCGCCGGGGGAGCGUACGUACGCCUCCUUAGGAUUCCAGCGGGCGUACCCACGCCUCGCUGGAAUCUUAGGGGGCGUAGGUAUGCGCCCCGGGCCAGCGCCCGCCAAGGGACCCUCAGAACUCCUGUGAAGCAGUGCCGUCUGAGUCGAUAUUUAAUCGAAACAAAACUUUCAACAACGGAUCUCUUGGUUCCG